GCCCCGUAGCCCAAUGGCAGAGGCAGACGACUUGAAAUCGUCACAGUGUGGGUCUGAGUCCCAGCGGCGGCA
rnacentral:tRNA from 2 species